GAUGAAUGCCAAUGUGCUUUCUUGCACAUCUGAAUAGACUUCCCUCUGCAUUUCGACACAGUUUCAUAACAGGCUUCAAGUUGCACAGGUUAAACCCCGGUGUAGUUCAAGUCCAGUGUCAUUAUCUCUUGGCCAUCAGAGGAAGGGAGCAUGAGUCAUGACUGAAGAGCAUUUGCUUGGUUCAUUUAUGUUGUGAUGGUUUAUGUUGUGAUGGUUUAUGUAAUGACUUAUGAGCCAAGUCUUAAGAGCAUUGCUUGGUUCAUUUAUGUUGUGAUGGUUUAUGUAAUGACUUAUGAGGCAAGACUUAAGAGCGUUCGCUUGGUUCAUUUAUGUUGUGAUGGUUUAUGCUCUGAUGCUUCACGUAAUGACUUAUGAGGCAAGACUUAAGAGCAUUUGCUUGGUUCAUUCAUGUUGUGAUGGUUUCUGUUUUGAUCGUUUCAAUGUGCCAACCUUGUUUCCGAGCCGUGACAGCGAUUGAGCAUGAGACAAGGCUUAACAGCGACUCCAAGGCUUAUUGACGGGCUGUUCGGGCCCAUCUGAAUAGAGUCCUGAAUAUAUUCCUUUAAUCCUU
ensembl:lncRNA